GAUCGAUAUUCUUUCUGUUUGCGGUGAAGUUCGGUCCAUUUUUCUCUGCUGCGGGGAUUUCCCUAGGGUUUUGGUAGAAAGCCCUAACUGCUGAAAUUAGCUAGAUUGAAUUACUUUAUCUCGGGUUUAGUUCGAUCCUUCAAUCUCUGCAGCGGAGAAGUUAGGAUGCGGAGAAGAUUGAAGAGGAGAAGCUCACUCAAGAGUCGAUUCCUAUCUUAGAUAUUUGUCCUGGUAAAUGAAUGCCCUUCAUGAUUACUUGACUGCAAAAGACUGUGAGUUCUCUUCCUAAUGGCUCCUCUUUCAUGCAAGUCAGAAAAUGAGGAUGGUGUGAGGUCGUACUCUUGGAGUAUACACUCGUUGGAUAUUCCACCCUCACUUGUUGAUGGCAGUUCCAUGUCAUCAUCUCACAUCAGCAUCACUUACAUCUCAAUUAAAUUAGUGUAUCUAUAUACGAUGACAAGAACGGCACAAGGAAGGACGAGAUCACUGCAUUCAGAGGGCACACAUUGGCGGCGGCACAAAUGUGUUCAGGCUUUCUAUGAGAGAUUGAAAGAGAUUGUUUUAACUUUUCCUCCAACCCUAGGAAUGUUUGUUUAUAGUUGUUUAACUGAAAAUAUUUUCUUGCUUCUUUGUUUAGAUUGACGAGUAUUGUCGGCAACAUCCUUCUGCACAAGUUGUAGAUGUGAUCGAGAAGUUUAGUGGAUGUCUAAGGAAAAGUUAGUUGUUAAAUUUAGUGGUGAGGUAUGCAAACUCUAUAAUACUACUAAAGAAAAUUAUUACAAUGUUGCAAAAAUUUGUUGUAUACAAAAUUGAAUGUUGCAUUAACUUGUUGUAA